rnacentral:rRNA from 1 species
CCGGCACGGGUGAGUAACACGUAUCCAACCUGCCGUCUACUCUUGGACAGCCUUCUGAAAGGAAGAUUAAUACAAGAUGGCAUCAUGAGUCCGCAUGUUCACAUGAUUAAAGGUAUUCCGGUAGACGAUGGGGAUGCGUUCCAUUAGAUAGUGGCGGGGUAACGGCCCACCUAGUCUUCGAUGGAUAGGGGUUCUGAGAGGAAGGUCCCCCACAUUGGAACUGAGACACGGUCCAA